CCUAGAGUUGCUACUUUCCACUUCACUGUUCUGCUGGGUAGAACACUGUGUCUCCUGCCAUUUAAUCCCAGCUGAAAAUGGAAUCUGUUCUGUCUUUUGUUUUCUCAGAAGAAGAUCUUGUCCACAGAGCCUGUGAUACUGGGGACUUAUAAAGUAUACUGACAAGGUGGUCUUUGAUCAAAGCAACAUUGGAAGCCAAGUGUUAGAGCAAUGGCAGAGCAAUCAGAUGGAAGGAGCCUGGGUUCCUGGGUUUCUGAUCAUUGCAUGAAGAGGAGCCACUUGACAAUCAGGAGCAUCCAAUUUGGACUUAAUCCGAUGACUUGACGCCAAAACAUCUGCCCACAUGUGCUGAAGAUCUGUGCAGAGAAUGAAAACCUUGAUUACCUUGCGAACUUCACUUCUGCAACAGGAAGUUAAAAACUUGAAAUUUAUAUUGAAAUGGAUUUAUAUGUCUUCUUUCUGUCAAAUACACCUUCACAUCUGAAUGUGAGAGUCUGAUGUGAACAUUCAUCAAAGAAUAAAUUUACUUCCAAUGUG